rnacentral:rRNA from 1 species
GAUGAACGCUGGCGGCGUGCUUAACACAUGCAAGUCGAACGGACAGGCCCUGCUUUUGCUUCUUGCUCGUUUGGCGAACGGGUGAGUAACACGUGUGUAACCUGCCCUUGUCUUUGUGAUAACUUCUGGAAACUCGGGCUCUUAUCGGAUAGGAGCUCCUGCUGCACGGUGGGGGUUGGAAAGUUUCGGCGUUUGGGGAUGGACUCGCGGCUUCUCAGCUUGUUGGUGGGGUAGUGGCUUACCAAGGCUUUGACGGGUAGCCGGCCUGGGAGGGUGACCGGCCACAUGGGGACUGAGAUAGGGACCAGAAGCCAACGGGAGGCAGCGGGGGGGAAUAUGGCGCAAUGGGCGGAAGCCUGAGGCAGCAACGCCGCGUGCGGGAUGACGGCCUUCGGGUGGUAAACCGCUUUCGCCGGUGACGAAGCGUGAGUGACGGUAAUGAGUAAAGAAGCACCGGCUAACUACGUG